ensembl:lncRNA
UUUUAUGUUUUGCUAAACUCUUAGGUUAGUCUUUCCGGCUUGUCAGCUCGCUCUACUCUGUGGCGGCUGAAGAAAAAAAGAACCAGUUGGCAAGCGAAGCGAACGCUCGGAGCCAGCAGCAAACUAGCCAUUUCAUCGUUUAUUUUUGUCGUAAGCAUUGGCUUACUUGUGAAGAUUGUUUCGUUUUAUCCUAAAGACUGUUUGGAGUUUGUCUGCCUUGGAUUACGGAUAUUACACAUUUCCCUGUAUUAAACAUUAACUGUGCUAGCUAGCUAAACAUUUUAUUUGUGCGACGACAGCUGUCAUUUGGAGAAGGAAAAGUGAUCCGUCAUGCGUGAGAAAUUAAGCUGAUUUCUACUGGAUUUACAUUUUAACAUCCUUCAAAUGGGCGACGUUAACGUUCAAUAUUUGAGAACUGCGGUGGUAUUGCCUUAGUAACUAGUGUGGCCACCUAGCUUGCUACUUAUACUUAUCGUUGGACAGAAGACAGCUAGUUAGCUGGCUAUAUCAUUCAUUCAGCCUCAUAAAUACACUAACUACAAAGUGAUAUAACUAUAGCAAUAUCGCUUACAAUUUUGGACAUGAAGAAAAUAACCUACUAUUCAUAGGGUUGAAAGAAUGUCAUCAGAGGAUAAGACUGUGGAGCCCUCUGACCAGGGACCCUCGCUGCCCUCUGUUAGUGCAGGGGCCACGUCCACAGGAAGCCCUGCCCAGACAGACAAGCGCCCCAGGGGCAGACCACGCAAGGAUGCUACCACCACCAUCGUACCCCAGGCUCUACCCACAACUACAUCCAAGACCAGGAAGAAGGGGCGUACCAGAGGUAGAGUGGUUGUGGAGGAGGAGGACAGCAGCAUGGACGGGACAGAGGCAGCCGCUUCAGAGAGCCCCCUCAGGACACAACAGAUACACCAGCCCAGCAGCCUGUGGAGAGUGUGGAGGUGGGUGCCACUGAAGGACCAGGGGAGGGGGAAGAGAAGCCCUCUUCUCCCCAGGUCCAGAGCCCUCAGACUAGUGAAGCAGCUGAGCUUUCUGGUCCUAUCACCAACAGAGGAGUUAAAAGCAGGUCAGUCUGAGAGUUCCAUCACAGCAAGUUUGGCUAUGAGGGGUGGAUCUGUGUUUAUGUACGGUGUAUAUUGAUUAAUGUGAUACUUUUGGUCAUGUAGUGUAUGUGGACACCUGCUUGUCGAACAUCUCAUUCCAAAAUCAUGGGCAAUUAG